UAAUUUUGACCUCGUCUAGAGCAAGAGUACCCGCUGAACUUAAGCAUAUCAAUAAGCGGAGGAAAAGAAACCAACAGGGAUUGCCUUAGUAGCGGCGAGUGAAGCGGCAAAAGCUCAAAUUUGAAAUCUGCCUUACGGCCGAGUUGUAAUUUGUAGAUGGUAACUCUGUGGCAAGCCUUUGCUCAAGUUUUCUGGAAAGAAACAUCAUGGAGGGUGACAAUCCCGUGAGGCAUUGGUGCAGCUGCGUGUAGAGUGCUAUCAAAGAGUCGAGUUGUUUGGGAAUGCAGCUCAAAGUGGGUGGUAGACACCAUCUAAAGCUAAAUAUUGGCGAGAGACCGAUAGCGAACAAGUACUGUGAAGGAAAGAUGAAAAGCACUUUGAAAAGAGAGUGAAAAAGUACGUGAAAUUAUUGAUACUGAAGGGUAUAAAAUUGGACUCAAGGCCUAGGUUCGGUAGCCUCUCGGGGUUGCUUUGUCCUAGGCCCUAAACCAGCAUCAGUUUUGGCAGGUGGAUAAACAACAUGGAAUGUAGCUGCUUGCAGUGUUAUAGACUUGUUGCAUACACCUUGCCGGGACUGAGGACUGCCUUUGUAGGAUGCUGGGGUAACGAUUUUAUACCACCCGUCUUGAAACACGGACC
rnacentral:rRNA from 1 species